rnacentral:rRNA from 1 species
AACGAACGCUGGCGGCAGGCCUAACACAUGCAAGUCGAGCGCCCCGUUCGGGGCGCGGCGCGCAGGUGUGCAUCGCGCGGGAACGUCUCCUCUUGUUCGGGACAUCUCUGGGAAACUGGAGUUAUAAUCCGAUAAGCUCUAAUGGGGAAAGAUUUAUCGCCCAUAGAUCGGCCCGCGUCUGAUUAGCUAGUUGGUGAGGUAACGGCUCACCAAGGCGACGAUCAGUAGCUGGUCUGAGAGGAUGAUCAGCCACACUGGGACUGAGACACGGCCCAGACUCCUACGGGAGGCAGCAGUGGGGAAUAUUGGACAAUGGGCGCAAGCCUGAUCCAGCCAUGCCGCGUGAGUGAUGAAGGCCUUAGGGUUGUAAAGCUCUUUUGUCCGGGAAGAUAAUGACUGUACCGGAAGAAUAAGCCCCGGCUAACUUCGUG